AAGGGCAUUCAAUCAAGAUGCCUCAUGCCCGCGCUCUACGUGUUCUACCAUUCUCCGUUGCUGCUUCGCUACGAUCUAAUCUCUAGCCGAAUUUGUGCGUUUCUAAUCAAAGUUACACCAUUUCGCCACAUCAAUAUAGCCACGCGCACAGAGUAGGAAAGAUUUAUCAUUCAACUACGAACCGCCCUCGCGAAUCCACUACGAGGAGGGAAAAAAAUAGUAAGAAUUACUACGUCGCCACAGUGUUAAGGGUUCUUGUCGCCCAUUUCGCAGGUUUUUUAUCAGAAACGUUGUAAUUUUCGUGUCGUUUAUAAAUAUAAUUUCUCAAUUGCUUUUUUUACAGUUGAUCACAGUCAAAUUCCAAGAGCUCUCGAAUACAAGUAUCGCCGAUCCGCCGACACGUUUGAAUAUUUACUGUGAACAGGCACUACGGGGGCUGGGUAGGUCCAAUCGAUGCGGACAAUUGCAAGCACACCUAUUCUAUUGUUUAUCUUCUACAAGUGCGGAUCGUCUCGUUUGUUGCGAAUACUCUUUCGUCGGGAAUUAAAGGGGGAAAGCGGCGGCUCGAAGAAACCCCCGUGAGACGAGGCGCGUCUGUCGAUGCGGAAGAAAAUAAUCAAGAGAUGACGAUUCGUGUCUUAUUCCGCAAUGACUCAAGGUGAAAGGCAUAUAAUUCCAGAGAUUGUAGCGCUCCGAAAAGGGCGGUAUAGCGCGGUAGCAGUGGUCGUGCCUCCUGCAGCAUCGGUCCACGUGAUCCAACGCCCCGAGCUCCUUAAUUUUGAAGAGUCCCUUUUGCCCCGGAUUUCAACGUUGUGGGACAAAACGAUCACAGUGCCCAUAUUCCCCUAUUACCAGAAGAAAAGAGGCAUUGGAACUCUGUCAGAAUUUUCAUGAAGUUCGUUCAGGAAAAAAAAGAAGAAACUUUGCAAAAAUGAGAUUUUAAAAGAACAUUAAAAAACAAGAAACUAAAAGAAUUGCCUCAUUUCAACUGUUCCUAGAGAAAAAAAAAGUGUCAAGGACAAAUUCCAUUGUGGCGCAUAAAAAAAUUUUGUUUUUCAGAAAUAGCAAAAAACUUGUGCGUUUCUUGAUGUAUGUGAGUGAGAAAUGCACGAAGCUUCUCGAACUUUUAAAAAGUCUAAUAUUUUCUCAAGUUGAAGUAUUUUCUCAAAAAAAAAAAAAAUGUGAAAUAACGAAUUCCGUAAUUUGACUAAUGAAAACCGACUCGUACGACAUAACUUUGUCUAAAAAAUUCAAUCUUCGUUUAUCAUAAAUAAUUCCGAAGUGUGUGGCAACUUUUCGAUAAGCUACGAGCACACCGGUCGGUGUAUCGCUUCGGCGAGCGUGCCCCCCAGCUGUGAACACCUUGUAUCUUCUUUUACGAACGUUCCUUCGUCCCGGCACGAAAUAACUUUUUUUAUUUCACAUGGGCAUGUGUUUGUGAUUUUUUUUUUCUUUUUUUUUUUAAUAUAUAAAUAAGAUUGAGCAUUCCCGUAGAAAAAAUCGAUCAAAAAAACUGUGGAGAUAAAUUUUAAUCGUUUUCAAUGUUUGAAUUUACAUUUCUGGCUUUUUUU